CCUACGGGAGGCAGCAGUGAGGAAUAUUGGUCAAUGGCCGGAAGGCUGAACCAGCCAAGCCGCGUGAGGGAGGAAGGCGCAGAGCGUCGCAGACCUCUUUUGCCGGGGGACAAAAGGCCGGACGGGUCCGGUUCUGAGGGUACCCGGAGAAAAAGCAUCGGCUAACUCCGUGCCAGCAGCCGCGGUAAUACGGGGGAUGCGAGCGUUAUCCGGAUUUAUUGGGUUUAAAGGGUGCGUAGGCGGCGCUUCAGGUCAGCGGUGAAAUACCGGGGCUCAACCCCGGGGCUGCCGUUGAAACCGGAGCGAUAGAAUUCCGAUGCGGUCGGAGGAAUGUGUGGUGUAGCGGUGAAAUGCAUAGAUAUCACACAGAACACCGAUUGCGAAGGCAUCUGACGAAUCGGAGAUUGACGCUGAUGCACGAAAGCGUGGGUAUCGAACAGGAUUAGAUACCCGAGUAGUC
rnacentral:rRNA from 1 species